rnacentral:rRNA from 1 species
GACGAACGCUGGCGGCGUGCCUAAUACAUGCAAGUCGAACGAGAGCGCCCGGUGCUUGCUCUGGUGACGUUAGCGGCGGACGGGUGAGUAACACGUGGAUAACCUGCCUAUCAGAGGGGGAUAACUUCCGGAAACGGGAGCUAAAACCGCAUAGGUUUUUGAACCGCAUGGUUCAAUGGGGAAAAGAGGCGCUGGUUUCUCUUAUUGGUUGGUCCGCGGCGCAUUAGCUAGUUGGUAAGGUAACGGCUUACCAAGGCAGGGAUGCAUAGCCGACCUGAGAGGGUGAUCGGCCACAUUGGAACUGAGACACGGCCCAGACUCCUACGGGAGGCAGCAGUAGGGAAUCUUCCGCAAUGGGCGCAAGCCUGACGGAGCAACGCCGCGUGAGUGAAGAAGGUUUUCGGAUCGUAAAACUCUGUUGUUAGGGAAGAACAAGUGCUAAAGUAACUGUUAGCGCCUUGACGGUACCUAACCAGAAAGCCACGGCUAACUACGUG